rnacentral:rRNA from 1 species
AUUCCAUCCACAUCCACUCGCGAACUAUCACUGUACCCCUCCUGCUGUCCUCACGGACGGCCUGAGCGGCUGGCUUUCGGGCCAGUCGGGCUCCACGUCCUCGGGCGUGGAGUCGGCAAACCACAACACACCCAACAAAAUGUCUGUCUGAAGCUAAAUCGACUCGGCAUCGCCGGUUGACUAACAAUGACAACUCUCAACAACGGAUAUCUUGGCUCUCGCAACGAUGAAGAACGCAGCGAAAUGCGAUACGUAAUGUGAAUUGCAGAAUUCCGUGAAUCAUCGAAUCUUUGAACGCAUAUUGCGGUCGAGGCUUCGGCCAAGACCAUGCCUGCCUCAGCGUCGUAAUAGUGCAAUCCCUCACACCCCCUGCCCCUCGGCAGGCGGGAGUGGACCUGGUCUCCCCAUCGCUUCUGUGAUGGGCUGGCUGAAACUCGGAGAUUCACGCUCGGGCCUGUACGGCAACAGCAAGGUAGGUGGCUCGUUCACUCCGGCUGAUGCUUAGGGCACGCGCACGGAUCCUUCAGAAAACCCUUUUACA